UACGUAGGGGGCAAGCGUUGUCCGGAAUUAUUGGGCGUAAAGAGCGUGUAGGCGGUCCGGUAAGUCGGUUGUGAAAGUCCAGGGCUCAACCCUGGGAUGCCGAUCGAUACUGCCGGACUAGAGUCCGGAAGAGGCGAGUGGAAUUCCCGGUGAUAGCGGUGAAAUGCGCAGAUAUCAGGGAGAACACCGAUGGCGAAAGCAGCUCUCUGGGAGCGGUAACUGGACGCUGAAGGCGGCGAAAGCCGUGGGGAGCAAACACGG
rnacentral:rRNA from 1 species